UACGUAGGGUGCGAGCGUUAAUCGGAAUUACUGGGCGUAAAGCGUGCGCAGGCGGUUCGUUAAGUCAGAUGUGAAAGCCCCGGGCUCAACCUGGGAACUGCAUUUGAAACUGGCGGGCUUGAGUGUGGCAGAGGGGGGUGGAAUUCCGCGUGUAGCAGUGAAAUGCGUAGAGAUGCGGAGGAACACCGAUGGCGAAGGCAGCCCCCUGGGCCAACGCUGACGCUCAGGCACGAAAGCGUGGGGAGCAAACAGG
rnacentral:rRNA from 1 species